rnacentral:rRNA from 1 species
AGAGUUUGAUCAGUGGCUACAGAACGAACGCUGGCGGCAUGCCUAACACAUGCAAGUCGAACGAGACCUUCGGGUCUAGUGGCGCACGGGUGCGUAACGCGUGGGAAUCUGCCCUUGGGUUCGGAAUAACAGCGAGAAAUUGCUGCUAAUACCGGAUGAUGACGUAAGUCCAAAGAUAUAUCGGCGAAGGAUCGGCCCGCGUUGGAUUAGCUAGUUGGCGGUGUAAUGGACCACCAAGGCUACGAUCCAUAGCUGGUCUGAGAGGACGACCAGCCACACUGGGACUGAGACACGGCCCAGACUCCUACGGGAGGCAGCAGUGGGGAAUCUUGGACAAUGGGCGCAAGCCUGAUCCAGCCAUGCCGCGUGAGUGAAGAAGGCCUUAGGGUUGUAAAACUCUUUCGCCGGUGAAGAUAAUGACGGUAACCGGAGAAGAAGCCCCGGCGAACUUCGUG